rnacentral:rRNA from 1 species
GUCGAGCGCUCACUUCGGUGGGAGCGGCGGACGGGUUAGUAACGCGUGGGAAUGUACCCUUCUCUAAGGAAUAGCCUCGGGAAACUGAGAGUAAUACCUUAUACGCCCUUCGGGGGAAAGAUUUAUCGGAGAGGGAUCAGCCCGCGUUAGAUUAGGUAGUUGGUGGGGUAAUGGCCUACCAAGCCUACGAUCUAUAGCUGGUUUGAGAGGAUGAUCAGCAACACUGGGACUGAGACACGGCCCAGACUCCUACGGGAGGCAGCAGUGGGGAAUCUUGGACAAUGGGCGCAAGCCUGAUCCAGCCAUGCCGCGUGAGUGACGAAGGCCUUAGGGUCGUAAAGCUCUUUCAACUGUGAAGAUAAUGACGGUAGCAGUAGAAGAAACCCCGGCUAACUCCGUGCCAGCAGCCGCGGUAAUACGGAGGGGGUUAGCGUUGUUCGGAAUUACUGGGCGUAAAGCGCACGUAGGCGGAUUAGUCAGUCAGAGGUGAAAUCCCAGGGCUCAACCCUGGAACUGCCUUUGAUACUGCUAGUCUUGAGUUCGAGAGAGGUGAGUGGAAUUCCGAGUGUAGAGGUGAAAUUCGUAGAUAUUCGGAGGAACACCAGUGGCGAAGGCGGCUCACUGGCUCGAUACUGACGCUGA